AAAUUGAAGAGUUUGAUCAUGGCUCAGAUUGAACGCUGGCGGCAGGCCUAACACAUGCAAGUCGAACGGUAACAGGAAGCAGCUUGCUGCUUUGCUGACGAGUGGCGGACGGGUGAGUAAUGUCUGGGAAACUGCCUGAUGGAGGGGGAUAACUACUGGAAACGGUGGCUAAUACCGCAUAAUGUCGCAAGACCAAAGAGGGG
rnacentral:rRNA from 3 species